AGGAAUGCUGCAUGGCCUCCCCAUAGCGGCGGUGGGAGCCUCGGCCGGGGAGAGCCCGCUCAGGGGCAGGAAGUGCUCGGCCCUCCUCGUGGAGGGCGUUUCCGGAGCGCCUGCCGUGCUCCUUGCCGGGGUGGGGGUCGUUACCGAGUGGGAACUUCUGCAAAUCCUGACUUUUGUCAGUUCGCGCCCCGCACAAGAUGUCCUGCCGGCGGUGCGAUUGCUCCCGUUGCUUCGAGGGGAAACUGAGGCCAGUUAGUCCGGGCACUUACCCGCAGCUAGUUAAGGACUAGGCUUUGAUGGGGACGCUUGUUAUGACCUCAGUGGCCUGUAGAAUCUGGGAGGCCGCCUCCGACCUAAGCCCAAAAAGCACAUGGUCGGGCUCACAGGGGGCGGCCAGAGGUGAAAACAGCCAACGCUUUACAACGACGCUGUGCGGGGCACUUCGUGUGUGUCAUCCCGUCUCAUCCUCGGGUGAUGGGAACUGUUCAUUCGGGAAAAUUGCAAACAACUAAAUACCCCUCACCAGGAGCUGGCCCAUUAUAGCAACUCUGAGACCUCUCUACCACAGGCUCUUAGAAUGGGAGUUUUGCUCUUGUUGCCCAGACUAGAGUGCAGUGGCGAGAUCUUGUCUCACUACAACCUCUGCCUCCCAGGUUCAAGCGAUUCU
rnacentral:antisense_RNA from 1 species